GGCGGGGUAGCUCAGUUGGUUAGAGCGUUCGGUUCAUACCCGAAAGGUCGAGAGUUCAAAUCUCUCCCCCGCUA
rnacentral:ncRNA from 13 species